rfam:Populus trichocarpa isolate Nisqually-1 chromosome 4, whole genome shotgun sequence.
UCUAGAACUCGAGAUAUGGGCUGAACACUAAACAAUGUCUGGGCUGGAGGACAGAUUCUGACUUCUCUUUUGUUGCUAUAAUUUGAACUUGAAAACGUCCGUUUUGAAUCUUGGACUCUUCAUGAAAGUGUUAGGCCUAUGUCUUAGCAUUCUAUC